UACGUAGGGUGCGAGCGUUGUCCGGAAUUAUUGGGCGUAAAGGGCGCGUAGGCGGCUAGAUGUGUCAAAGGUGAAAUCCCUCGGCUCAACUGAGGAACUGCCUUUGAAACUGUCUGGCUUGAGGCCGGGAGAGGGUAGCGGAAUUCCCAGUGUAGCGGUGAAAUGCGCAGAUAUCAGGAGGAACACCGGUGGCGAAGGCGGUUCUCUGGGCAUGUCCUGACGCUGAGGAGCGAAAGUGUGGGGAGCGAACAGG
rnacentral:rRNA from 1 species